rnacentral:rRNA from 1 species
GACGAACGCUGGCGGCGUGCUUAACACAUGCAAGUCGAACGAUGAAGCCAGCUUGCUGGUGGCUUAGUGGCGAACGGGUGAGUAACACGGGGGUGAUCUGCCCCAAACUUUGGGAUAAGCCUGGGAAACUGGGUCUAAUACCGAAUAUGACCGAUACUCGCAUGGGUGUUGGUGGAGAGCUCCGGCGGCUUGGGCUGGGCCCGCGGCCUAUCAGCUUGUUGGUGGGGUAAUGGCCUACCAAGGCGACGACGGGUAGCCGGCCUGAGAGUGGGACCGGCCACACGGGGACUGAGAGACGGACCAGACUCCUACGGGAGGCAGCAGUGGGGAAUAUUGCACAAUGGGCGCAAGCCUGAUGCAGCGACGCCGCGUGAGGGAUGACGGCCUUCGGGUUGUAAACCUCUUUCACCAGGGACGAAGUGAAAGUGACGGUACCUGGAGAAGAAGCACCGGCCAACUACGUG